rnacentral:rRNA from 1 species
GUUGAUCCUGCCGGAGGUUACUGCUAUCGAGGUUCGACUAAGCCAUGCGAGUCGAAUGUAGCAAUACAUGGCGUACUGCUCAGUAACACGUGGAUAACCUACCCUUGAGUCGGGGAUAAACCCGGGAAACUGGGUAUAAUACCCGAUAGAUCUCGACUGCUGGAAUGCAUCGAGCUCUAAAGCUCCGGCGCUCAAGGAUGGAUCUGCGGCCUAUCAGGUAGUAGUGGGUGUAGCGUACCUACUAGCCUACGACGGGUACGGGUUGUGAGAGCAAGAGCCCGGAGAUGGAUUCUGAGACACGAAUCCAGGCCCUACGGGGUGCAGCAGGCGCGAAAACUUUACAAUGCUGGAAACAGCGAUAAGGGGACCUCGAGUGCCAGGUUACAAAUCUGGCUGUCGUGAUGCCUAAAAAGCAUUGCAUAGCAAGGGCCGGGCAAGACCGGUGCCAGCCGCCGCGGUAACACCGGCGGCUCGAGUGGUAACCGUUAUUAUUGGGUCUAAAGGGUCUGUAGCCGGCCGGAUAAGUCUCUUGGGAAAUCCAGCAGCUCAACUGUUGGGCUUUCAGGAGAUACUGUCUGGCUCGAGGCCGGGAGAGGUGAGAGGUACUUCAGGGGUAGGGGUGAAAUCUUGUAAUCCUUGAAGGACCACCAGUGGCGAAGGCGUCUCACCAGAACGGACCUGACGGCAAGGGACGAAAGCUAGGGGCACGAACCGGAUUAGAUACCCGGGUAGUCCUAGCCGUAAACGAUACUCGCUAGGUGUCGGCCACGGUGCGACCGUUGUCGGUGCCGUAGGGAAGCCGUGAAGCGAGCCACCUGGGAAGUACGGCCGCAAGGCUGAAACUUAAAGGAAUUGGCGGGGGAGCACCACAAC